GGGGGUCUUAGUGGAAGUGACGUGCUGUGAAUACAGGUCCAUAGCACCGCUAUCCACUAUGUCUCGCCCG
rnacentral:pre_miRNA from 14 species